rnacentral:rRNA from 1 species
AGAGUUUGAUCAUGGCUCAGGAUGAACGCUGGCGGCGUGCUUAAUACAUGCAAGUGAAACGGGUGUCUUCGGACACUAGUACGCGAACGGGUGAGUAAUACAUAGGCAACCUGCCCUUAAGCGGGGGAUAACUAGGCGAAAGUUUAGCUAAUACCGCAUAAAAGACCCUGGGCAUCCAGGGAGAAUAAAAGUAGGGUUACUACACUUAAGGAUGGACCUGUGGCGCAUUAGCUAGUUGGUGAGGUAACGGCCCACCAAGGUUAUGAUGCGUAGCCGACCUGAGAGGGUGAUCGGCCACAUUGGGACUGAGACACGGCCCAGACUCCUACGGGAGGCAGCAGUAAGGAAUUUUCGGCAAUGGGGGAAACCCUGACCGAGCAACGCCGCGUGAGUGAUGACGGCCUUCGGGUUGUUAAAAAGCUCUGUGAUAGAAGAAAAAUGACAUUGAUAGGGAAUGAUCAGUGAGUGAUGGUAUUCUAUUAGAAAGCCACGGCUAACUACGUGCCAGCCGCAGC